rnacentral:rRNA from 1 species
AACGAACGCUGGCGGCAUGCCUAACACAUGCAAGUCGAACGAGACCUUCGGGUCUAGUGGCGCACGGGUGCGUAACGCGUGGGAACCUGCCCUUAGGUUCGGAAUAACUCCCCGAAAGGGGUGCUAAUACCGGAUAAUGUCUUCGGACCAAAGAUUUAUCGCCUUUGGAUGGGCCCGCGUUGGAUUAGCUAGUUGGUAGGGUAAAAGCCUACCAAGGCGACGAUCCAUAGCUGGUCUGAGAGGAUGAUCAGCCACACUGGGACUGAGACACGGCCCAGACUCGGAGGGGAGGCAGCAGUGGGGAAGGGGGAACAAGGGGAGGAAGCCUGAUGAAGCAAAGCAGCGUGCGGGAGGAAGGAAAUCGGGUUGGAAACAGAGGUCGCCUGUGACGAAGCGUGAGUGAAGGGAAUGGGUAAAGAAGCACCGGCUAACUACGUG